UUGCUCUCAUAUCUACCUUUUCUUCCUUUCUUUCUGUCUUUUUUCUGUGUUUCUUUUUUUCUCUCUCUCUCUCUCUUUUUUUAUUUUAAACCUUUUUUUUCUUUUUCUUUUUUUUACUUUGGGUGUAUAUGCCGUCGAACAUUUAACUUUAACAAUUGUGCUGAAAAUAUAUAUGUGUGGAUCUAUCGCGGCAGAUGAGGAUCCCUCAGACCUUCAAGCAACUCCAAAUCUGCACCCGAGCACAUCUGUGGACUCUAUCCUUCAUUCCACCGGAGUCUGUGUCUCUAACCAAUCAGAUUUCAGUGGUGUGAAGCAUAGAAGACACAGAGCAGUCACAUGACCCCUCUUCUGCAUACUGAUUUGGAAGAAGAAUAAAAAAAAGAGCAAAAAUUUAAAAUGUUAAAUAAAUGUUGAAUUAACCGUUGAAUUAACCCUUUUUUGUAUUAUUUAUCACAUAUUUAUUACUUUAUUUAAUUAUUUUAAAUGUUGAGUUGCACAUACCACUGAUAGAGAUUGAUAAAUGUUGUCUAUUAGAAUAGAGCGAGAAACAUGAACCAGCCAAUGAAAAAAGCUUACAAGCCAAUAAAACAGUAGCUUAGCCCCGCCCACUUCACUGGAAAAAAUCAGUAGCACUCUUAAACCCAAUAAAGGAAAAUAAUAAGAGCUAUUUUUUUAGACACGUUAAUCAUGUUUAUUUUACUGUGUAGGAAUGGUUUGUGGAAUAAAAAAGGUCAAUAUAAAAAAAAUAUAAAAUAAAAAUGUGAAACACAGGCUUCCACUACAAUGGACAUAAAAAACAAUUAAAUAUUUUAGUUAUAUUGAUUUAACUGGACUUUAUAUUAGAGUAUUACAUUCCUCUUUUGCUUGUUCUGCAUUAAAGGCAAUUUUUAUGUUUCUGCAUCACUGCAAUAUAACUCACAUAAUAUAACUUUAACCAUUUGUUAGAGCACAUUUAAUUCAUGUUAUUUUUAAAGAAAGGUUUGAAAGGAUUGCACUAUCCUUAACAAUCAGCUCAGGUUAGACUGUUUUUGGUAGUUUUAGAACAUAAGCAGUAUGAUACUCAGCUUUAAUCAAUGAAUUUUGCUUAGUUACUAUUAUUUUUUAUUAUUUGUAUCAAACAUUUGAAAAUAAAACUUUUUUUGUUACUGUCCUAAACGACACCAAAAAAAAACACCAAAAAUGAAAUAUGCCACUACUUUUUUUUUUUUUUUUUGAUAAUGAUGUUAAAGGAGUAAAUUGAAUGUCCACUGCAACUAUAAAUGGAAAUAUAUAUGAAACAACUAUAUUACACCACACAGUUAUUGCUAAAAAGAAGUAAAACAAACAAAUGAAAAUGUAUUGAUGUAAAAUAUCUCAAAUAAGUUUUACCCCUUUUUUUCUUUUUCUGUAUUGUUUUUUUUUUUUUU